rnacentral:rRNA from 1 species
GGUAGUCCACGCCGUAAACGAUGUCGACUUGGAGGUUGUUCCCUUGAGGAGUGGCUUCCGGAGCUAACGCGUUAAGUCGACCGCCUGGGGAGUACGGCCGCAAGGUUAAAACUCAAAUGAAUUGACGGGGGCCCGCACAAGCGGUGGAGCAUGUGGUUUAAUUCGAUGCAACGCGAAGAACCUUACCUACUCUUGACAUCCAGAGAACUUAGCAGAGAUGCUUUGGUGCCUUCGGGAACUCUGAGACAGGUGCUGCAUGGCUGUCGUCAGCUCGUGUUGUGAAAUGUUGGGUUAAGUCCCGCAACGAGCGCAACCCUUAUCCUUUGUUGCCAGCGGGUAAUGCCGGGAACUCAAAGGAGACUGCCAGUGAUAAACUGGAGGAAGGUGGGGAUGACGUCAAGUCAUCAUGGCCCUUACGAGUAGGGCUACACACGUGCUACAAUGGCGCAUACAAAGAGAAGCGACCUCGCGAGAGCAAGCGGACCUCAUAAAGUGCGUCGUAGUCCGGAUCGGAGUCUGCAACUCGACUCCGUGAAGUCGGAAUCGCUAGUAAUCGUAGAUCAGAAUGCUACGGUGAAUACGUUCCCGGGCCUUGUACACACCGCCCGUCACACCAUGGGAGUGGGUUGCAAAAGAAGUAGGUAGCUUAACCUUCGGGAGGGCGCUUACCACUUUGUGAUUCAUGACUGGGGUGAAGUCGUAACAAGGUAACCGUAGGGGAACCUGC